rnacentral:rRNA from 1 species
GGAAAAGAAACCAACAGGGAUUGCCCCAGUAACGGCGAGUGAAGCGGCAACAGCUCAAAUUUGAAAUCUGGCCCCAGGCCCGAGUUGUACUUUGCAGAGGAUGCUUCUGGCGCGGCGCCUUCCAAGUCCCCUGGAACGGGGCGCCGGAGAGGGUGAGAGCCCCGUACGGUCGGCCGCCAAGCCUGUGCGAAGCUCCUUCGACGAGUCGAGUAGUUUGGGAAUGCUGCUCUAAGCGGGAGGUAGACCCCUUCUAAAGCUAAAUAUUGGCCAGAGACCGAUAGCGCACAAGUAGAGUGAUCGAAAGAUGAAAAGCACUUUGAAAAGAGGGUUAAACAGCACGUGAAAUUGUUGAAAGGGAAGCGCUCGUGCCCAGACGUGCGCCGGGGCGAUCAUCUGGCGUUCUCGCCGGUGCACUCGCCCCGGCGCAGGCCAGCGUCGGCUCGGGUGGGGGGACAAAGGCGUCCGGCAUGUGGCCCCUCCGGGGGUGUUAUAGCCGGGCGCGUCAUGCUCCCGCCCGGGCCGAGGUCUGCGCUCUGCAAGGACGCUGGCGUAAUGGGCACUGGCGGCCCGUCUUGAAACACGGACCAAGGAGUCGAGGUCUUGCGCGAGUGUCUGGGUGCCAAACCCGCACGCGCAAUGAAAGUGAACGCAGGUGGGAGCUUCGGCGCACCACCGACCGAUCCUGAUGUUCUCGGAUGGAUUUGAGUAGGAGCGUGGGGCCUCGGACCCGAAAGAUGGUGAACUAUGCUUGGAUAGGGUGAAGCCAGAGGAAACUCUGGUGGAGGCUCGCAGCGGUUCUGACGUGCAAAUCGAUCGUCAAAUCUGAGCAUGGGGGCGAAAG